rnacentral:rRNA from 1 species
CUACGGGGCGCAGCAGUAAGGAAUAUUGGUCAAUGGACGAAAGUCUGAACCAGCCAUGCCGCGUGAAGGAUUAAGGUCCUCUGGAUUGUAAACUUCUUUUAUAUGGGACGAAAAAAGGUCUUUCUAGAUCACUUGACGGUACCAUAUGAAUAAGCACCGGCUAACUCCGUGCCAGCAGCCGCGGUAAUACGGAGGGUGCAAGCGUUAUCCGGAUUCACUGGGUUUAAAGGGUGCGUAGGCGGGCAGGUAAGUCAGUGGUGAAAUCCUGGAGCUCAACUCCAGAACUGCCAUUGAUACUAUCUGUCUUGAAUAUUGUGGAGGUAAGCGGAAUAUGUCAUGUAGCGGUGAAAUGCUUAGAUAUGACAUAGAACACCCAUUGCGAAGGCAGCUUACUACGCAUAUAUUGACGCUGAGGCACGAAAGUGUGGGGAUCAAACAGGAUUAGAUACCCGCGUAGUC